CAAGUGAACUAUACUUAGACUUUUGUAGUGAAGACUGCCUUGUUUAACAAAAUGUAGCACUGUCACUUUAAGAGCCACGCUAGAUGAAAACACGCGGGAACAUAUAGAGCGUGUGGGAAUCAGACCAGGAAGCGAAGUAAGCUUGACAUGCACGUGAAGGAGGGUAGUCGUUGAACUGUGCCUAAUGCUUGUACCAACUUGAUACACCCAUGAUCGUCGUUGAAACCCUGGUUAUAUUCAGAGCAAAAUAUCGUGGUUUGGAGUUUGAAAUCUGCCGUUCGUGAGUGGUGCGAACAGCUGUAUAGCAGGGGAGAUAAUUUGUGUCUUUCCACGUGUUUUGUAUACACCCAACAUGCCGGAAAGUGUAGAGUAAGUGUGUCCUCUCAUCACAUUGGAUUGUAAUGAUUGCACUUUUAAGUUUCAUGGAUUGUUGGAGCUUGGAAAUAAUGUAUUUUUAUUUCUCUUUCCUUAUCAAGUAAGCCACUGCUGUUGUUUAUUAUGGUGAAAUUUUCCUUAAUCUGUUAGAUAAAUUUCUUUGAUCUCUUUUCCAACUCUUUUAAAAUUCAGUUAACAUCUUAGUCUUUCAUCUUAAUGCUGAACAAUUUUUCAUUGUUCAGUCGGGAAUAAAGCCCACCUAAAAAGUUUUUUGUGUCCAGUCCAGUCUUUCCAAAGACCCGGCUACACAA